rnacentral:rRNA from 1 species
AUUGAACGCUGGCGGCAUGCUUUACACAUGCAAGUCGAACGGUAGACCCUUUCGGGGGUUGAGAGUGGCGAACGGGUGAGUAAUGCAUCGGAACGUACCGUGUCGUGGGGGAUAACGUAGCGAAAGUUACGCUAAUACCGCAUACGCACUGAGGUGGAAAGAUUUAUCGCUGUUUGAGGGUCCUGCGUUCGAUUAGCUAGUUGGUGAGGUAACGGCCCACCAAGGCGACGAUCGAUAGCUGGUCUGAGAGGAUGAUCAGCCACACUGGGACUGAGACACGGCCCAGACUCCUACGGGAGGCAGCAGUGGGGAAUAUUGGACAAUGGGGGAAACCCUGAUCCAGCAAUGCCGCGUGCGUGAAGAAGGCCUUAGGGUUGUAAAGCGCUUUCACCUGUGAUGAUGAUGACAGUAGCAGGAGAAGAAGCCCCGGCUAACUCCGUGCCAGCAGCCGCGGUAAA